rnacentral:lncRNA from 1 species
UAAAUGCAAAAUGUAGAUGCUUUUCUAUUUUUCUCCGAACUUCUGCUGAUUUUUGCACUUUAUUUAAUGAUGCUCCUUGUUCUGUUUCCCCCUCCUGAAAUCUUCCGAAUGCCCUUACAUCAAAGUGUGUGAAAGCUGGUACACUCGUGCACGUUCUUUAGAAGAAAUGUAAGUUCGGAAAUGUCUUCUGAUGUUGUGUUUGCUCCGUGAUUAUUUUUCAGCCUUAUAAAAUUUAUAGCUUAAUUUCCCUUCUCUUAUCCUUUUGUGCUGCCGCCUUCGUUACCUUUCAGCCUUCACACUCUGUCAGCCUGGUUUUCUGAAAACCCCGCCGUCUCCUUUUGAUCAAAAGGUUUUUGUUCCUGCACAGUGCUCUCAGCCUUCAACAUCUGCUGUUCUGCUUCAGCACAAAAUUGACUGCCCGAAGACUCUUGUCAAAUUCACGAUGGCAGUGCCGACGCAGUCAGUAGCAUUGGUGCUUUCAGUGACCCCAUAGGAAGGCUGGCUCUUGCCCUCAGCUUGCCAUUCACCCACACCUCUGGAGCGAGGAUUUGCUUGGGUUUUCUGCAUUGCAGGAUCGUAGUGGUGUCUCCUAGCAACUUGGCUGAAAAAUGAACAUCCAGCAGGGAUGCUCUGACUGCUACGUAAAACCGUGUUUCUCUUGAUGAGGCUAACUCAACCAUCUUCACUGCUGUCCUCUGCACUAAAUGUUGUGCCGUACUGUUGAAAGCGCUUCUCAAGAUCAGCAUUAAAGGUAUAAUCUUUUAAAAAGACUGCUGUUGUUAGUUGUAAACAAUCACUCCUCUUUGAGAUUUCACAGGUACUGUGACCAAAGCUUAUAUGGAAAGUACUUUUCAAUUGACAAGUGGGACACGGUGACAGCACUGCAAGAUCUACACAGGCAGUAAGCCUGAAGGGGUAGGUCUGCUUGACAAACUCCUGGUGUGCCUUUAACCCAUGUACUUCUCUCUUUGUGCCAUACACCUGCAUCCAUGCAUAGCAACAUCGUGGCUGAAUUUUUCCUGUAGAUGAGGCUGGGUGUACAUCAGAAGCUUUCGAAGUCCACACCAUUGCCUCUCUCUCAGAUUUUAAUUUCUUGGGGACAUGUUGUAAAAGCUGCAUGUAAUAUAAAUCUUUGAGGAUACAGAAGCUAUAUGGGAGCUUUCCUACCAUCACUGCCCAGUGUCUGAAAAAUAGUUUUCUUCACUUUGCUAUUUAAACUGCAGGCAGGUGA